rnacentral:rRNA from 1 species
GAUGAACGCUGGCGGCGUGCCUAAUACAUGCAAGUCGAGCGAACAGACGAGGAGCUUGCUCCUCUGACGUUAGCGGCGGACGGGUGAGUAACACGUGGAUAACCUACCUAUAAGACUGGGAUAACUUCGGGAAACCGGAGCUAAUACCGGAUAAUAUAUUGAACCGCAUGGUUCAAUAGUGAAAGACGGUUUUGCUGUCACUUAUAGAUGGAUCCGCGCCGCAUUAGCUAGUUGGUAAGGUAACGGCUUACCAAGGCAACGAUGCGUAGCCGACCUGAGAGGUGGAGCGGCCACACUGGAACUGAGACACGGUCCAGACUCCUACGGGGGGCAGCAGGGGGGAAUUUCCGACAAGGGGCGAAGCCCGGAGGGAGCAACGCGGCGUGGGUGAAGAAGGUCUUCGGAUCGAAAAACCCUUUUAUGGGGAAAGAAAAAAAGUAGAAUAAAAAACCCCUGUUUUGACGGUACCAAACAAAAAAGCCCCGGCUAACUUCGUC